GGUACCUUUCGAGUUCCUUGGAACAGGACGCCUUAGAGGGUGAGAGCCCCGUACGAUUGGAUGCCGAGCCUCUGUAAAUCUCCUUCGACGAGUCGAGUAGUUUGGGAAUGCUGCUCUAAAUGGGAGGUAAAUUUCUUCUAAAGCUAAAUACCGGCCAGAGACCGAUAGCGCACAAGUAGAGUGAUCGAAAGAUGAAAAGCACUUUGAAAAGAGGGUUAAAUAGCACGUGAAA
rnacentral:rRNA from 1 species